AGCGAACGCUGGCGGCAGGCCUAACACAUGCAAGUCGAACGAACCUUUCGGGGUUAUUGGCGGACGGGUGUGUCACACGUCGGAACGUUCCCUUAGGUUCGGCAUAACUCAGGGAAACUUGUGAUAAUACCGAAUGUGCCCUUCGGGGGAAAGAUUUAUUGCCUCUAGUGCGGCCCGCGUCGGAUUAGCUAGUUGGUUGAGGUAAUGGUUCAUCCAGGCGACGAUCAGUAGCUGGUCUGAGAGGAUGUUCAGCCACAUUGGGACGGAGACACGGCCCAAACUCCUACGGGAGGCAGCAGUGGGGAAUCUAGCGCAAUGGGCGAAAGCCUGACGCAGCCAUGCCGCGAGAAUGAUGAAGGUCUUAGGAAUGUAAAAUGCUUUCACCGGUGACGAUAAUGACGGUACCCGGAGAAGAAGCCCCGGCUAACUUCGUG
rnacentral:rRNA from 1 species